rnacentral:tRNA from 1 species
GGGCUCUGGAUGUUAUGACGCUGCCCUUACAAGGCAGAGGUCCCCAGUUCAAAUCUGGGCGGGCCCA